CCUCCCAUCUAUCCUCUAUUUCCACAUAUACAUGUGUAGAUGGAAGUAGAAUAGCUGGGAGAGU
ensembl:miRNA gmo-mir-11236 gmo-mir-11236